AACGUAGCGAAAGUUACGCUAAUACCGCAUACGAUCUAAGGAUGAAAGUGGGGGAUCGCAAGACCUCAUGCUCGUGGAGCGGCCGAUAUCUGAUUAGCUAGUUGGUAGGGUAAAAGCCUACCAAGGCAUCGAUCAGUAGCUGGUCUGAGAGGACGACCAGCCACACUGGAACUGAGACACGGUCCAGACUCCUACGGGAGGCAGCAGUGGGGAAUUUUGGACAAUGGGCGAAAGCCUGAUCCAGCAAUGCCGCGUGAGUGAAGAAGGCCUUCGGGUUGUAAAGCUCUUUUGUCAGGGAAGAAACGGUGAAGGCUAAUAUCCUUUGCUAAUGACGGUACCUGAAGAAUAAACACCGGCUAACUACGUGCCAGCAGCCGCGGUAAUACGUAGGGUGCAAGCGUUAAUCGGAAUUACUGGGCGUAAAGCGUGCGCAGGCGGUUUUGUAAGUCUGAUGUGAAAUCCCCGGGCUCAACCUGGGAAUUGCAUUGGAGACUGCAAGGCUAGAAUCUGGCAGAGGGGGGUAGAAUUCCACGUGUAGCAGUGAAAUGCGUAGAUAUGUGGAGGAACACCGAUGGCGAAGGC
rnacentral:rRNA from 1 species